UAUCUACCCAUUAGCACCUAUGUUAGCUACCUACUAUAACCAUUAUAGUAACACCGUUAUCAACAUAGCAACAUUUGGAGCAUCUUAGGCACCAUGAUCAUCAUAAUAGAUACACCACCAUCAUGACUAUCCCAAUCAUGAACAACACCAUGAGCAUCAUCGUGCCAUAACAUCACAAUGGAAAGAGUUUGUCUCACUCUUGUACCCUACUCACCUACUAUAACCACUCCCAUAGUCCACCUAUAGCCUCCCACUUACAGAACAUCUAUAGUUUCUCCUACAAAUCAUUUGUAGCCUCCCUACAAAUCUGCUUGAGUAGUCCCGCAAUCCAGCUAAGGAACAUGUAAUCCUAUCACACUAGGACAAGGAACACACCUUAACCCCCA
rnacentral:lncRNA from 1 species